GCAGCCGCGGUAAUACGUAGGUGGCGAGCGUUGUCCGGAUUUACUGGGCGUAAAGGGAGCGUAGGCGGACUUUUAAGUGAGAUGUGAAAUACCCGGGCUCAACUUGGGUGCUGCAUUUCAAACUGGAAGUCUAGAGUGCAGGAGAGGAGAAUGGAAUUCCUAGUGUAGCGGUGAAAUGCGUAGAGAUUAGGAAGAACACCAGUGGCGAAGGCGAUUCUCUGGACUGUAACUGACGCUGAGGCUCGAAAGCGUGGGGAGCAAACAGGAUUAGAUACCCC
rnacentral:rRNA from 1 species